UUCGGGCUGUCAAGUUCUGGGUUUGGGGCUCAGCCAGAAAUGUUUCAGUUACGUCGAGUAGUUCUCCGAGAGAACACGUAGUAUACAAAUUUUGUGUGUGUAGAACAAAAAAACCAAAUGGAUUAGACGCCACGCUGCAACGAGGUUGGAUGUGCAAUACGGUCAGGUGGAAGGUUGAACUAGACGUCCCGCAGAGCCCUUGCAUGUAACCUCCACUUCACAACCACCAUCGAAGAUAUCCCGGCCAUCAAUUUGCCAAAAGUGCUCAAAGCCAACUCUUCGGGAGUUCUUUAAAGUGAGAUCUCUGCCCUUCUCAAGGAUCUUGCCACACCAAGUGCAAUGCGGGUCGCCUCAGAUACUUUACGCCUGCGUUGUAGCAUCCUAAAAUUUUAGUGAAACUUUUACGUAGACUAUAUACGGAUAGAAUCGAUGCGGACUCGGAAAUGUACUUGGACCAUUCUUUGACGCUGAUUUAGAUUUGGUAUGUGGAGUAGGCCUACUAGAACUCUACUUUUAUGGUGGUGCGGAAAAGUGUUUAUUACACUUCCAAGCAUAACCAUAUAAAUAAAGAGAUUUUUGUCUACCAAAAAA